AGCAGCGUUAAGUUGCAGCCAACCUCGACCGAGAUUUCAAUUGAGCAGGAGGUCACAUUGCCCACCACACCAAGGCGGAUCAUGCUAGGAAGAAGUUUGACGUCUUCCACCCAUUGGAUGGUCAGCAUUGAGGG